CGGGUCGCAGCAGCAGUGGGGAAUAUUGCACAAUGGAGGAAACUCUGAUGCAGCAACGCCACGUGGAGGAUGACACUUUUCGGAGCGUAAACUCCUUUUAUAUAGGAAGAAGAUGACGGUACUAUAUGAAUAAGCGCCGGCUAACUCCGUGCCAGCAGCCGCGGUAAUACGGAGGGCGCAAGCGUUACUCGGAAUCACUGGGCGUAAAGAGCGUGUAGGCGGAUUAAAAAGUCAGAAGUGAAAUCCUAUAGCUUAACUAUAGAACUGCUUCUGAAACUCUUAAUCUAGAAUAUGGGAGAGGUAGAUGGAAUUUCUGGUGUAGGGGUAAAAUCCGUAGAGAUCAGAAGGAAUACCGAUUGCGAAGGCGAUCUACUAGAACAUUAUUGACGCUGAGACGCGAAAGCGUGGGGAGCAAACAGGAUUAGAUACCCCUGUAGUC
rnacentral:rRNA from 1 species